rnacentral:rRNA from 1 species
GGCAGCGAACGUAUCACUUAAAGCGAUUCAGCGGGUUACGAUUGACGGAGCGAAGCGACGUCAAAGCGUAUACAAAGUCGAGUCGGUUUAAGGAUACGUUCGUUGGGUAGGGGAGCGUUCUGUAAGCCUGCGAAGGUGGCCUGUGAGGGUUGCUGGAGGUAUCAGAAGUGCGAAUGCUGACAUAAGUAACGAUAAAGCGGGUGAAAAGCCCGCUCGCAGGAAGACCAAGGGUUCCUGUCCAACGUUAAUCGGGGCAGGGUGAGUCGACCCCUAAGGCGAGGCCGAAAGGCGUAGUCGAUGGGAAACGGGUUAAUAUUCCCGUACUUGGUGUUACUGCGAAGGGGGGACGGAGAAGGCUAUGUUGGCCGGGCGACGGUUGUCCCGGUUUAAGCGUGUAGGUGUGUGUUCCAGGUAAAUCCGGUUCACUUUAACACUGAGGCGUGAUGACGAGGCACUACGGUGCUGAAGCAACAAAUGCCCUGCUUCCAGGAAAAGCCUCUAAGCAUCAGGUAACAUCAAAUCGUACCCCAAACCGACACAGGUGGUCAGGUAGAGAAUACCAAGGCGCUUGAGAGAACUCGGGUGAAGGAACUAGGCAAAAUGGUGCCGUAACUUCGGGAGAAGGCACGCUGACACGUAGGUGAAGUGAUUUACUCAUGGAGCUGAAGUCAGUCGAAGAUACCAGCUGGCUGCAACUGUUUAUUAAAAACACAGCACUGUACAAACACGAAAGUGGACGUAUACGGUGUGACGCCUGCCCGGUGCCGGAAGGUUAAUUGAUGGGGUCAGCGCAAGCGAAGCUCCUGAUCGAAGCCCCGGUAAACGGCGGCCGUAACUAUAACGGUCCAAAGGUAGCGAAAUUCCACGGCGGCCGUAACUAUAACGGUCCUAAGGUAGCGAAAUUCCUUGUCGGGUAAGUUCCGACCUGCACGAAUGGCGUAAUGAUGGCCAGGCUGUCUCCACCCGAGACUCAGUGAAAUUGAACUCGCUGUGAAGAUGCAGUGUACCCGCGGCAAGACGGAAAGACCCCGUGAACCUUUACUAUAGCUUGACACUGAACAUUGAGCCUUGAUGUGAAGGAUAGGUGGAUGAACCUUUACUAUAGCUUGACACUGAACAUUGAGCCUUGAUGUGUAGGAUAGGUGGGAGGCUUUGAAGUGUGGACGCCAGUCUGCAUGGAGCCGACCUUGAAAUACCACCCUUUAAUGUUUGAUGUUCUAACGUGGACCCGUAAUCCGGGUUGCGGACAGUGUCUGGUGGGUAGUUUGACUGGGGCGGUCUCCUCCUAAAGAGUAACGGAGGAGCACGAAGGUUGGCUAAUCCUGGUCGGACAUCAGGAGGUUAGUGCAAUGGCAUAAGCCAGCUUGACUGCGAGCGUGACGGCGCGAGCAGGUGCGAAAGCAGGUCAUAGUGAUCCGGUGGUUCUGAAUGGAAGGGCCAUCGCUCAACGGAUAAAAGGUACUCCGGGGA